rnacentral:lncRNA from 1 species
GGGGAAGAAGCUUUGCAUCAGAGCGCAAUAUCCUUCAAAAAGUAUAAGCUGUGGGCAUAACUUGCUACAUGGUUCAGCUUAAAGAUGGAAUAACUUUGACUGCAAAAAAACAACAGAGUCCCUAAAUUUAAAUUCAAUGAUAUGUAUGAUUUCAAUAUGAAAAAGAAAGAAAAGAAGCAUAUUGUGUGAUACAAAGUGGAAGGAAGCAGGCC